rnacentral:ncRNA from 1 species
CUUAUCGCGAGUGACCGAGGGACGGGCCCGAUGACGUCACGGCAACCGGCAGAAAGCUUGGUGCCAAAUCCCGCAGCGCAUGCACACCCCUCCGGGGAGCGCUGACAGAUAAG